GUCCACACUGUAAACGUUGAUGACUCGAUGUUGGCGAUACACAGCCAGCGUCCAAGAGCAAUCGUUAAGUCAUCCACCUGGGGAGUACGCCGGCAACGGUGAAACUCAAAGGAAUUGACGGGGUCGCACAAGCGGUGGAGCAUGUGGUUUAAUUCGAUGAUACGCGAGGAACCUUACCUGGGCUAGAAUGCCCUUGAUGGGUACAUAGAUGUAUCGUUCCGCAAGGACAAGGAGCAAGGUGCUGCAUGGCUGUCGU
rnacentral:rRNA from 1 species